AGGAGAGUUUGAUCCUGGCUCAGGAUUAGAUACCCUGGUAGUCCAGGAUUCGGCCUAGAGUUUGAUCCUGGCUCAGGAUGAACGCUAGCUACAGGCUUAACACAUGCAAGUCGAGGGGCAGCAUCAGGUUAGCUUGCUAAUCUGGAUGGCGACCGGCGCACGGGUGAGUAACGCGUAUCCAACCUUCCCCUUACUCAGGUAUAGCCCGGUGAAAACCGGAUUAACCCCUGAUGGUUUCACUAGAUGGCAUCUGACGGUGAAUAAAGCUUUGCGGUAAGGGAUGGGGAUGCGUCUGAUUAGCUUGUUGGCGGGGUAACGGCCCACCAAGGCGACGAUCAGUAGGGGUUCUGAGAGGAAGGUCCCCCACAUUGGAACUGAGACACGGUCCAAACUCCUACGGGAGGCAGCAGUGAGGAAUAUUGGUCAAUGGGCGAGAGCCUGAACCAGCCAAGUAGCGUGCAGGAAGACGGCCCUAUGGGUUGUAAACUGCUUUUGUACGGGAAUAAAGUCAUCCACGUGUGGAUGUUUGCAUGUACCGUAAGAAUAAGGACCGGCUAAUUCCGUGCCAGCAGCCGCGGUAAUACGGAAGGUCCGGGCGUUAUCCGGAUUUAUUGGGUUUAAAGGGAGCGUAGGCCGUCCUUUAAGCGUGUUGUGAAAUGUAGGCGCCCAACGUCUGCACUGCAGCGCGAACUGGAGGACUUGAGUACGCGGGAAGCAGGCGGAAUUCGUCGUGUAGCGGUGAAAUGCUUAGAUAUGACGAAGAACUCCGAUUGCGAAGGCAGCCUGCUGUAGCGCCACUGACGCUGAUGCUCGAAAGCGUGGGUAUCGAACAGGAUUAGAUACCCUGGUAGUCCCCU
rnacentral:rRNA from 1 species